AGCAGCCGCGGGAAUACGUAGGGUGCGAGCGUUAAUCGGAAUUACUGGGCGUAAAGCGUGCGCAGGCGGUUCGUUAAGACAGAUGUGAAAUCCCCGGGCUUAACCUGGGAACUGCAUUUGUGACUGGCAAGCUAGAGUACGGUAGAGGGGGAUGGAAUUCCGCGUGUAGCAGUGAAAUGCGUAGAUAUGCGGAGGAACACCGAUGGCGAAGGCAAUCCCCUGGACCUGUACUGACGCUCAUGCACGAAAGCGUGGGGAGCAAACAGGAUUAGAUACCCCCGUAGUCCCUGUCUCUUAUACA
rnacentral:rRNA from 1 species